rnacentral:rRNA from 1 species
UACGAAGGGUGCAAACGUUGCUCGGAAUUAUUGGGCGUAAAGCGCACGUAGGCGGCAUUGCAAGUCGGGAUGUGAAAUCCCUCGGCUUAACCAAGGAAGUGCAUCCGAAACUGCAGUGCUUGAGUACUUAAGAGGAUCGCGGAAUUCCCGGUGUAGAGGUGAAAUUCGUAGAUAUCGGGAGGAACACCAGUGGCGAAGGCGGCGAUCUGGGAAGAUACUGACGCUGAGGUGCGAAAGCGUGGGGAGCAAACAGG